rnacentral:rRNA from 1 species
UACGUAGGUGGCAAGCGUUGUCCGGAAUUAUUGGGCGUAAAGCGCGCGCAGGCGGCUUCUUAAGUCUGAUGUGAAAUCUCGGGGCUCAACCCCGAGCGGCCAUUGGAAACUGGAAGCUUGAGUACAGAAGAGGAGAGUGGAAUUCCACGUGUAGCGGUGAAAUGCGUAGAUAUGUGGAGGAACACCAGUGGCGAAGGCGACUCUCUGGUCUGUAACUGACGCUGAGGCGCGAAAGCGUGGGGAGCAAACAGG